rnacentral:tRNA from 1 species
GGAGAUAUAGCUCAAUAAGGGAGAGCACCGGCCGAAAAUGCUAUAGGUAAGUAGGACGGAGGUUGGAGGUUCGAAUCCUUUUAUCCCCACCA